rnacentral:misc_RNA from 1 species
GAUGAAGAACGCAGCGAAAUGCGAUAAGUAAUGUGAAUUGCAGAAUUCAGUGAAUCAUCGAAUCUUUGAACGCACCUUGCACCCUUUGGUAUUCCGAAGGGUACACCCGUUUGAGUGUCAUUCUAAUCUCACUACAACCACUUUAUUGUCGGUUUGUAUGUGGACUUGGAUGUUGCCGUGUAACAAACGGCUCGUCUGAAAUGCCUGAGUGUACCCUGCUUUGCGGCGUAUUUGGUGUGAUAAAUCUUCACCGGAGUGGACUUUCGGGUCACGUCUGCUUACAAGGCUCUAUGCUUCCAACCGUCCUAACAAGACAAUCUUUGACAAUUUGACCUCAAAUCGGGUGGGACUACCCGCUGAACUUAAGCAUAUCAAUAAGCGGAGGA